rnacentral:rRNA from 1 species
GACGAGCGCUGGCGGCGUGCUUAACACAUGCAAGUCGAACGGAAAGGCCCUGCUUUUGUGGGGUGCUCGAGUGGCGAACGGGUGAGUAACACGUGAGUAACCUGCCCUUGACUUUGGGAUAACUUCAGGAAACUGGGGCUAAUACCGGAUAGGAGCUCCUGCUGCAUGGUGGGGGUUGGAAAGUUUCGGCGGUUGGGGAUGGACUCGCGGCUUAUCAGCUUGUUGGUGGGGUAGUGGCUUACCAAGGCUUUGACGGGUAGCCGGCCUGAGAGGGUGACCGGCCACAUUGGGACUGAGAGACGGCGCAGACUCCUACGGGAGGCAGCAGUGGGGAAUAUUGCACAAUGGGCGGACGCCUGAUGCAGCAACGCCGCGUGCGGGAUGACGGCCUUCGGGUUGUAAACCGCUUUCGCCUGUGACGAAGCGUGAGUGACGGUAAUGGGUAAAGAAGCACCGGCUAACUACGUG